UUUCGAAUCAUUCACAAUGGGCGAAAGCCUGAUGGUGCGACGCCGCGUGAGGGAUGAAGGCCUUCGGGUUGUAAACCUCUGUCACCGGGGAAGAAACGCUUCAAGUUAACAGCUUGAAGCCUGACUUAACCCGGAGAGGAAGCAGUGGCUAACUCUGUGCCAGCAGCCGCGGUAAUACAGAGACUGCAAGCGUUAUUCGGAUUCACUGGGCGUAAAGGGUGCGCAGGCGGCCGGGUGUGUCAGAUGUGAAAUCCCGAGGCUUAACCUCGGAACUGCGUCUGAAACUACUCGGCUAGAGUAUUGGAGAGGGUAACGGAAUUCACGGUGUAGCAGUGAAAUGCGUAGAUAUCGUGAGGAACACCAGAGGCGAAGGCGGUUACCUGGACAAUUACUGACGCUCAGGCACGAAAGCAUGGGGAGCAAAAGGGAUUAGAUACCCCUGUAGUCCCUGAGCGGGCUGGCAAGGCGCAU
rnacentral:rRNA from 1 species